UACGGAGGAUGCAAGCGUUAUCCGGAUUCACUGGGUUUAAAGGGUGCGUAGGCGGGGUGGUAAGUCAGUGGUGAAAGCCUACAGCUCAACUGUAGAACUGCCAUUGAUACUAUCAUUCUUGAGUAUGGUUGAGGUGGGCGGAAUGUGUAAUGUAGCGGUGAAAUGCUUAGAUAUUACACAGAACACCGAUUGCGAAGGCAGCUCACUAAGCCAUUACUGACGCUCAGGCACGAAAGCGUGGGGAUCAAACAGGAUUAGAUACCCUGGUAGUCCACGCCGUAAACGAUGAUCACUCGCUGUUGGCGAUAUACUGUUCAGCGGCUAAGCGAAAGCAUUAAGUGAUCCACCUGGGGAGUACGAUCGCAAGAUUGAA
rnacentral:rRNA from 1 species